UACAGAGGAUGCAAGCGUUAUCCGGAAUGAUUGGGCGUAAAGCGUCUGUAGGUGGCUUUUUAAGUCCGCCGUCAAAUCCCAGGGCUCAACUCUGGACAGGCGGUGGAAACUACCAAGCUGGAGUACGGUAGGGGCAGAGGGAAUUUCCGGUGGAGCGGUGAAAUGCGUAGAGAUGUGGAGGAACACCAGUGGCGAAGGCGGCUUUCUGGUCUGUAACUGACGCUGAGGCGCGAAAGCGUGGGGAGCAAACGGG
rnacentral:rRNA from 1 species